rnacentral:rRNA from 1 species
CAGUCGCCACGGUAAUACGUAGGGUGCAAGCGUUAAUCGGAAUUACUGGGCGUAAAGCGUGCGCAGGCGGUUAUAUAAGACAGAUGUGAAAUCCCCGGGCUCAACCUGGGAACUGCAUUUGUGACUGUAUAGCUAGAGUACGGCAGAGGGGGAUGGAAUUCCGCGUGUAGCAGUGAAAUGCGUAGAUAUGCGGAGGAACACCGAUGGCGAAGGCAAUCCCCUGGGCCUGUACUGACGCUCAUGCACGAAAGCGUGGGGAGCAAACAGGAUUAGAUACCCCAGUAGUCCCUGUCUCUUAUAU